CCUACGGGAGGCAGCAGUGAGGAAUAUUGGUCAAUGGACGAGAGUCUGAACCAGCCAAGUAGCGUGAAGGAUGACUGCCCUAUGGGUUGUAAACUUCUUUUAUAUGGGAAUAAAAUGUUCCACGUGUGGGAUUUUGUAUGUACCAUAUGAAUAAGGAUCGGCUAACUCCGUGCCAGCAGCCGCGGUAAUACGGAGGAUCCGAGCGUUAUCCGGAUUUAUUGGGUUUAAAGGGAGCGUAGGUGGAUUGUUAAGUCAGUUGUGAAAGUUUGCGGCUCAACCGUAAAAUUGCAGUUGAAACUGGCAGUCUUGAGUACAGUAGAGGUGGGCGGAAUUCGUGGUGUAGCGGUGAAAUGCUUAGAUAUCACGAAGAACUCCGAUUGCGAAGGCAGUUCACUGGACUGCAACUGACGCUGAGGCUCGAAAGUGUGGGUAUCAAACAGGAUUAGAUACCCGUGUAGUC
rnacentral:rRNA from 1 species